rnacentral:rRNA from 1 species
GACGUAGGGGGCCAGCGUUGCUCGGAAUUACUGGGCGUAAAGGGUUCGUAGGCGGUGCGGCAAGUCGGUAGUGAAAUCUCCAGGCUUAACUUGGAGGCUGCUGCCGAAACUGCUGUGCUAGAGUGCAGGAGAGGCGAGUGGAAUUACAGGUGUAGCGGUGAAAUGCGUAGAUAUCAGGAGGAACACCGGUGGCGAAGGCGGGUCUCUGGGCAACUACUGACGCUGAGGAGCGAAAGCGUGGGGAGCGAACAGG